UACCUUAGAGUUGAGGAAUGCUGUGUAAUUACUGUCCAUAAAAACUUGCACUGCAUUCCACAGAGCAGCACGCCCUCCCAGGUGUUCAUGAACGUGUCUUCAUCGAGAGGCUACAAGUUUAAUAGAUUGAACUUUUAAUGGAUACAUCAAUUUAGGCUUCCCACAAAGCUAUAGAUUGAAAUGGUAUGUACCACAUAACUGUGGCUAACACACUAAAAUGGACAAUAGCAACAAUUUAGCAGAUAGCAUUUUAACAAAAGUAGCCUAGGGAUUUAUUUUUGUUGGUUUGAUUUUCUAAAAAAACAUACUUGGUUCAUGCUUGUAUUCCAUUUUAUAAGCUCUACAACUUUGAACAUAUACUGUCUAGAUCCAAGCAGGUCACCUACCCAAAUAAUGAAAAUGCACUAAAAAUGAAAGUCUCCAGGCCUAAAGCAAUGGGCGAUGAAGGCUCAGUGCAGCCUCUGCUGGCACUGUGCAACUGUCUCAGGAUGCCACAAACCAGCGUCCCAGCUACCAGAGUCGGCAGGAGUCCAUGCCUCUGUUCAUCGUGGAAUUGGGUGGACAGUUAAAUGCUUUCUGGAAUUCUUCAAAGUUACUAAUUGCACCAUUGACCCUGAAAAAAGGGAGACAACUUUUCAAAAAAAAAUGAACAGACUAGAACCAGCAUCUCCUGAAUGCCAAGCAAAUGCCCCAUUACUCUUCCAACAGUCUUCAAAUUCUUAUAAAACUGUAUUGUCACCAGUAUUAGUUUUUCUAACUUUUUAAAAACUUUAUAGAAAAUAUAACUGACCUAUACAAAGUAUUACAUGUAGAACUUGACAGUUUUUUGUGUGUAUGUGCCCGUAUUACUACCUGCCAGAUCAAGACAUUCCAGCACCCAGUAGGCUCCCGCCUGUUCCAUACCAACAGCAUCUCCAAAGAUAACUACUAUUCUGACUUCUAUUGCCAUAGCUUUGCCUGAUUUUGAACUUCAUGUGAAUGGAAUCCACGAAAAUUUCUGUCAACCUAUAGGACCGAGUACAGGGUCUUCUCAUUUAUUGAUUGCUGUACUAAGUAUUUGAAACUGACACUAGCAGCAGGGAUAUUCAGCCCAGUCCUGGGAGCAUGGUAGGUACUCGGCAAAUGCUUAUGUGGGUUCACUGAACGGUAUCUGGUUAUGCAAUAAUAGUCUCAAGAAUGAAAUGUGACUAACAUUUUCCCCCAUAUCAAUUAGACAAAAAACUAAGUCUCUCUAUUCAUUUCCUCCAACAGUAUCUUUAAGAUGCAACUCAUUAAAGGUUAAACCAUCUCAUCUGUUGUUAGUGGUAAUACAAAUUUGUACCGCUUUCUUGAGAGAAGUUGGGUAAGACGCAUUUCAAAACCCUCAAAUGGGACACACCAUUUGACACAGGAAAUCCUCCACUUCUAGGAAUUUACUCUAAAGAAAUGGUCUCAGUUUUAUACAAAAAGUCACAAAACUUAUCAAUACAGAGGGUUAACAAUAGGGAAACAGCCGAAAUGUCCAUUAGGAAGUAAUUAAAUAAGGUGUUUUCUCAGUUGAACACUACACUCAAUGACUUAGAAGAAUAUGUAAUAAAUGGAAAAAAAAAUUCAUGUUACAAUGUUCAGUGGGGAAAAAGUAGUACUAUUGGAUGAGUCCGUAGUUAAACCGUAAAACAUUUGUAGAUAAAUGUACAUUUCAGUGGUAUUCAACAAAAGUAUUAACCAUGACUAUCUUUAAAUGAUAUUAACUUUUUAAAUUUUUUUAGUUCAGCUAAAAUUUUUCUAGAUUUUCUACAAUAAUUAUGAACUACUUUUGUAAUAAGGGUAAAAGACAAUUUAUUUUUUAAAGAGAAGACAAAUGAGAUUGUGACCAUCAAGGUCAAUCAAUGAGAUUUCUCCCUGACAUCCUGUCUCCUGUUCCCAUGGCUGGUUUUUAGGUUCCUAUGCUCACCUCACCCUGGCUUACUUACAUCCAGGCAGUUGCCAGUGAGUGCCCCACUCACACCCUGUCUUUAAUCAGGGUGACUCUGAUAAUCAUUUCAUGCUUUCCUACUACCAGCCCUGCAGCCAACCUGCCCAGUGCAGUGUGUCUGAAAACGGCAUUUAGAAAUACCCUACAAGUGGCAAAUUGCAUCCUUACAGGCAUUGGUUCUGGGACUUACCAUGGUAACAGGAAUCCCAUGGGACUGCAGAGCUUUCCAGAUGAGGCUACCUUUGUCCUCCCGUGAUACUACCCAGAACACCAUUCUCAGAAGCCUCCUUGGUUAGGCUUCAGAAACUGGGGGGCUGUAUCAGGACCUCCAAAUUCCUCAACUAGACCAGGACAAGAAUGCCUUAAAAUAGGUGUA